GAAGAACGCAGCGAAAUGCGAUAAGUAAUGUGAAUUGCAGAAUUCAGUGAAUCAUCGAAUCUUUGAACGCACAUUGCGCCCGCCAGCAUUCUGGCGGGCAUGCCUGUUCGAGCGUCAUUUCAACCCUCAAGCUCUGCUUGGUGUUGGGGCCCUACGGUU
rnacentral:rRNA from 1 species